AACGAACGCUGGCGGCAGGCCUAAAACAUGCAAGUCGAACGCCCCGCAAGGGGAGUGGCGCACGGGUGAGUAACGCGUGGGAACGUGCCCUUCACUACGGGACAACGUCGGGAAACUGACGCUAAUACCGUAUAAUGACUCCGGUCCAAAGAUCUAUCGGUGAAGGAGCGGCCCGCGUCUGAUUAGCUAGUUGGUGAGGUAAAGGCUUACCAAGGCUACGAUCAGUAGCAGGUCUGAGAGGAUGAUCUGCCACACUGGGACUGAGACACGGCCCAGACUCCUACGGGAGGCAGCAGUUAGGAAUAUUGGACAAUGGGCGAAAGCCUGACCCAGCCAUGCCGCGUGUGUGAUGAAGGCCCUAGGGUUGUAAAGCACUUUCGUUGGGGAUGAUAAUGACCGUACCCAAAGAAGAAGCACCGGCUAACUUCGUGCCAGCCGCCGCGGUAA
rnacentral:rRNA from 1 species